rnacentral:rRNA from 1 species
UACGUAGGUGACCAGCGUUGUCCGGAUUUACUGGGCGUAAAGAGCGCGCAGGCGGUCGUUCAAGUCGAGUGUGAAAGCCCCCGGCUCAACUGGGGAGGGUCACUUGAUACUGAUCGACUCGAAGGCAGGAGAGGGAAGCGGAAUUCCCGGUGUAGUGGUGAAAUGCGCAGAUAUCAGGAGGAACACCGGUGGCGAAGGCGGGUCUCUGGGCCGAUAUUGACGCUGAGGAGCGAAAGCGUGGGGAGCAAACAGG